rnacentral:misc_RNA from 1 species
AAGAGACGUUGCCCUUCGGGGUAUACCUCCCACCCUUUGUUUAUUAUACCUUUGUUGCUUUGGCGGGCCCGUCCUCGGACCACCGGCUUCUGCUGGUCAGUGCCCGCCAGAGGACCUGAAACUCUGUUUGUUAAUAUUGUCUGAGUACUAUAUAAUAGUUA